rnacentral:lncRNA from 1 species
AAAGAAUGGGUAGCCCCAGGGUCUAACAAAACUCUAGCCUCAGAAUGACAAACAAGAAUAGUACCUGACACCACAGCAUUUGAGGCUCGCGCAUCUUGAGGAGUGAGGGUGAACACUCUAGCUUGCCCCCGGCCUGACUGUUGAGACCCUGAAGCUCGACCUUGAACCUUGCCCCCAGACCGGCCUCCUGAAGAUCUACCUCCAAAACUACGGCCCUGC